UACGUAGGUGGCAAGCGUUGUCCGGAUUUACUGGGCGUAAAGCGAGCGCAGGCGGAUCGUUAAGUAGGAAGUGAAAGGUCGGAGCUCAACUCCAACAUUGCUUCCUAUACUGGCGGUCUUGAGUCUCGGAGGGGAAAGCGGAACGACACGUGUAGCGGUGAAAUGCGUAGAUAUCUGGAAGGACACCAAAGGCGAAGGCAGUGUCCUGGGUGGUCGCUGACGCUGAGAGGCGAAAGCCAGGGGAGCGAACGGG
rnacentral:rRNA from 1 species